UUUGUUUUGUCCCAUUUUCUUCAUUUUCUCUUCAUUUCUUCAAGCUAAAUCAAAAGGGAGUGUUCUUAGGAGGAUUAUAUCCAAGAAAACAAAUUAAGUGACAACUGAGAGAGUUAUAGAGCUUGAGAGAAACAAAGGGAAGAAGCUGGAAAUUGGAAGAGGAGGACAUGAUUUUUGUAAAUUUUUGCAAGAAUUCAUUGAAAUAAGUUAAAGUAGCAAAGGUAAGCAACAUACCCUUUAGUAAUUUCGUUUUUCUCUCUUGUUCUUGCAUGAGGAGAAGAAAACCUCCAAGUUUAAAAUUCUAGGGUUCAUGUAACUAUUUUGGGGGAGUAAUUGUUCUUGUGAAUUUUGAGAUUAAUUGCAUGAUAAUGGCUUGAUUUGCUGAAAAAUAGAAGGAAUAAAUUGAUUUGAAAUUAUGAGUUUUGGGAUUGCAACAGGGCAAGAACUUCGGCAGCCAUAUGUUGACUUUCCACCGUUGGAUUAGAUUGAUUUUUGGAUAUGUUAUUGUACUCAAUGUUACCGAUAUUCUGACCGGAGGGAUUGUAAAUAGCUAACUUCGUUUGAGGGCUGUCACCGGAGGAACAUUUCUGGAAAAUCACCCUUCAAGACAGCCUUGUUCGUCGGACGUUAUAUCAUUGUUUCACUGUUGGAUUGGUCUGGAUUUUGGAUAUGUUGUUCAUCCAGAUGUUACAUAAAUGCUGAACGGUUAAGAUCGGAAACAAACACUCCUACCAAAAACUGUACUUCCCGAACAGUAGGUCUUCAAUUUUUAGGUCAGUCCGGUAUUGUUCUGAUAUCGGGAGAUUUAACCGUUGGAUGUAUGUGAAUUUUGGAUAUGUUAUUCUAAUGAUGAUGAUGUAUAAUUACACCAUUUGGAUAUAUUGAAUUCUAAAUUUACAGAAUGAUGUUUUAAGUUUGGUUUGAGAAAUAUUGAAUGAGAAUCUGAGGUUUAGCAUAAAAAGUAUGUUUUGGGACUAAGGAUAAUGGCAAUGGGUUUAAUGAUGAUGGUUGUGUUUGUGUUGUGUUUGAGUCAUGUUUGUUGUGUUGAUAAGUGAUGGUAUAGUUAAAUUCUAUAAAGAAUAGUGAUUGAUUAAUACUUUGGUUGUGUUGGAAUGGGAAAUCAUGGUAAGGGAUGUUGUAAGUUGAAUUAUGAUAUAAGGAAUCAUUUUGAGUGCGCUUUGGAAAAAUUUGGCAUGUGUAGUCAUUGAUGAAAUUUAAGUUAAAUUACAUUGUUUGGUGAUAGAUUAAAUGUCUUGGGACAGUAGAAAAUCGGUGACGAGAAUUCAUGUCUUUGAACAUCCAUGGAAGUAUUUGAUUUUGUGAAUUUAUGAAUAUUAUGAAUAAAUCGGGAAGAUUCAAAUAUUGAUUCAAGAUGUUAUAUUAAAAAUGUAGGAGAAGCAUUCACUCGACUUCUCAAGAGCUCGUAUAGUAGGAGCUUAAGGAGGGAUUGCAGGAGGGGCACAACAACAACAAGGAAGAGCGAGUUGAGCUUCUGCAGCUGGUAGGUGAUUCAUCACCUUAUUUUGUAAUUAUUAGUUUUUCUUAAAUAUUUAUGUUGUGUGUUUAAUUGAUGUUAAAAGAAUGAAACAAAUGAAUAAGUUGAGUGAUUAUUACAAAUGAGAAUUAUUGGUAAUUUAAGAGAAAUUACCGAAAUUAUUUGGCUAACAAAAGAGGUUAGCCGGGUGCUGGGUAAUUCGUAUGGAAUUACCGGAUUGAUUGUGGCAACCAAGACGGGUUAGCCAGAUUUCUUGGGUAAUUAAGAGAAUUACCGGGUUUAUUUGUUAACAAGGAAGUUAACUGGAUAUGGGGUAAUUCAUAUGGAAUUACUAGAUUGAUUGGCUAACAAAAAAAAAGGUUAGCCGGAUGUUGUGUGGAAUUACCGGAUUAAUUGGCUAACAAAAAAAAAGGUUAGCCGGAUGUUGUGUGGAAUUACCGGAUUAAUUGGCUAACAAAAAAGGUUAGCCGGAUGCUAGGUAAUUCGUAUGGAAUUACCGGAUUGAAUUUGGCAACCAAGAUGGGGUGGCCAGAUUUCUUGGGUAAUUAAGAAAAUUACCGGGUUUAUUGGUUAACAAGGAAGUUAACUGGAUAUGGGGUAAUUCGUAUGGAAUUACCGGAUUGAUUGGCUAACAAAAGAGGUUAGCCGGAUGUUAGGUAAUUCGUAUGGAAUUACUGGAUUAAUUGGCUAACAAAAAAAAAGGUUAGCCGGAUGUUGUGUGGAAUUACCGGAUUAAUUGGCUAACAAAAGAGGUUAGCCGGAUGCUAGGUAAUUCGUAUGGAAUUACCGGAUUGACUUUGGCAACCAAGAUGGGGUGGCCAGAUUUCUUGGGUAAUUAAGAAAAUUACCGGGUUUAUUGGUUAACAAGGAAGUUAACUGGAUAUGGGGUAAUUCGUAUGGAAUUACAGGAUUGAUUGACUAACAAAAUAAGUUAGCUGGAGGCUGGGCAAUUCGUAUGGAAUUACCAGAUGUACUGGUAACUAAAGAAGGUUAACCAAAUGUGUGGGUAAUUAUAUGAAAUUACCAGAAUUAUUGGCAAUUGAGAUGAGUUAGCCGGAUAGUUAAGUUUUGAAAAGAUUAUGUGAAUUAAUUGAUUGAAGUUUGAAGUAGUAAAUUCUAAAUGUUAUGAGUAAAAUAAUUAAUAUAUGACUAAGAUAUUGAGUAAAUUAAUUAAUGUGGUUAUUGGGUGGACACAAUGAUUUGGAGAUUGGAGGGGAAUUGAUAGAUAAUUGAUUACCAUAGUGUUGGUGGCUAAGGAUACAUUACAGUGAUACUUAACACCAUAAUGAUGGUGGCUAAGGGCAUAAAUUGAUACUUGGCACUGUGAUGAGGGUGACGAAGGUUAUGUGAAGGAUGCUUAGUGGCCGUAGUGUCGAUAACUAAGAUUGUGUGCAAAUGAUACUUGGCAACAGUGGUUACAAUGCAUAUGAUGUUAAUAAGAAAAAAUGAAAGGGAUUCGGUAUGAAUGGAAGAAUCAAAUGGCAUGGAUUAACUAUCCAGGUUUGGAUUGCUAAUGGUAUCGAGGAGGUUUCAUUGGUGCUGGUAUUUUUUAAAUUGAUUAGUCUAACCCAAUAUUAAAAGACUAAUGAUACUAAUGAGAUUUAUUAGUUCGGCGAUUACCUUCUAGCAACAGAUUUAGAAAAGGAAAAAUAUUGAUUAAUUAUUCCAAAAGAAUGAGAUAAACUAAUGAUACCAAGAGAGGAAUAUCUUGGUAUCAAAUGAGAAUUGAUUUAUAAGGAGAUGGUGUUUGCAAACCGUUGAGUUGUGUUGAGAUUUUCGAGAUGGAAUUAUUCUUGGCAAAUAAGAUAGGAUAUUAGAUGGAUAUUGGUAAUAGAUGAAAAAUAUAUGUUGUAAAAGAGGUUUAUGCCUAAUUUUAUAUAUAAAAAGAAAUUCCGUAGAGAUUAUUGUCUGCCAUUGUUAUUGCUUGUUACUAUCUUUUAUAUUUAUGUGUACAUGUUAGUUUCUAUUUUCAGGUCCAUCAGGGUUGCGUCAAGGGUAAUACUAGUUUAGUUAUCUUUUGCUUUUGACCAUGUAAAUUAUUUGUAAAUUAAAAGACUUAUUUCCUAAAACUUGAGAUGUAAUAUUAAUCCGUAAUUUUGAAUGUAUAUCUUUAAUCUAAUGGUUGAAACUCUUAGUACCUUUUUGACCAUGCAUGUUUAUAGUUGAAAUUGAAUCUUUUAUUUGAACUACAUUAUAUGAUGUUAUUGAAUAAGAUGUGUUGUGUUGAUGAGAAUGAGUUGGGUUGAGAUCCAGGAUGAUUGGGUCGUGAUUUUGAGUUAUGAGAUGUGAGAUAUUAGAAGUGUAAAUAGGGUAUAUGUCGAUAACUUGGGACCCACCAGUAUAGGGGAGACUCUGCCGAAAUUUUGGUAGAAAUUUUGGUGGAACCUGUAUAUCAAAAAAAAAAAUUUACCUAAAUAUUUCCAAUAUAUUGCAAAAAAGAAUGUAGAAAAAUCGGGGUUGUUACACCUAGGGUCCAAACAACAACUUUCACAAUGAUGAAGACAUCUUCUUCUGCUAGGGCGACGUGUAUUGUUGUUUAUGUGAGAUGUGUCAUCAAUGACCUUUUCUCUCUUCUUUUUUCUCCUUUCUCUCUCCCCAUAGAAAUCCACGUUAGUCAUUCAAAAUUUCAUAGUUGUCCUUUUAUUUACUGAUAUUUCAACUUUCGUCCUAAUUUUUUUAUUUCUAAAUUUUAUUCUUGGCUCUUUUUAAAAUUUUGAUUUGUUUUCAAUUUCAUCAGUGAAUCUGUAAUUGUGAUUUGUUAUUUUUUCAAAUCUAACCCUGAUUCUUUUGAUUUUUAUUUUGGAUCCCUUUGUGAAUUUUAUUUUUCUUUUUAAUUCCCCCUUCAAUUCAAAAUUAUAUGUUGUACUCUUAUUUAUUUUUUAUUUCAAAUUCGAUCCUCAUUCUUUUAAUUGUUAUUUUUAUUUUGAAUCCUUUUGUAUAAUUGAUUUUUUUUCAUCCUUAAACUUUUGAUUUGUUGGGAAUUAGGUUUCGUGGUUUUUUCAAAUAGGGUACUUAUGGUUUAGUAACUUGAGUCAUAUAUUUGAAAAGCUAACACGAGUUGAUAAUUUUUUUUUGCACUUAUUUUUUUUUUCAAUUUCAUCUUUAGACGUUAUUUAUUUUGAAACAUGGGCUUCAUGAUAGAACAAAAUCUGACCAUCAUUUUUUCAUGCGAAAUGAACAGAAUGGAUCUGUUGGUGUGUGUGGUAAUGGUACCAUGAAUCUUCCUGUUCCAGUUCUCC
rnacentral:lncRNA from 1 species